rnacentral:rRNA from 1 species
UUCGCCUACGGGGGGCAGCAGUGAGGAAUAUUGGUCAAUGGCCGGAAGGCCGAACCAGCCAAGUCGCGUGAGGGAAGACGGCCCUACGGGUUGUAAACCUCUUUUGCCGGGGAGCAAGCCUGAGCACGUGUGCCCAGGCGGAGAGUACCCGGAGAAAAAGCAUCGGCUAACUCCGUGCCAGCAGCCGCGGUAAUACGGAGGAUGCGAGCGUUAUCCGGAUUUAUUGGGUUUAAAGGGUGCGCAGGCGGGCUGUUAAGCCGGCGGCAAAAAUUCAG